CGCGAGCCAAGGCGGGCGGGCCCGCGUUUCAACCCGGCAUUGCGCCGCGCUCCGAGGGGCUCAGCCGGUGCGGGCAACCGAGCGGGUCGGCGGAGACCAUGUCCGGGGCGCGAAGAAGAGGAGCGGGAGAUUCUCUCGCCGGCUUCAGGCGGGGCGCAGGCGACGGCGCGGCGGCGGUGCCUCAAGGGCUGAUCCGGACUGCGCGGAAGAGCGGCCAGUUGAACCUCUCUGGCCGCGGGCUGACCGAAGUCCCUCCACAUGUAUGGCGAAUAAACUUGGAUAUUCCAGAUGAGACAAAGCAAAACCUCUCCUUUAGUGCUGACGAACGGUGGUGGGAGCAAACCGAUCUUGCCAAACUAAUAUUAUCUUCGAACAAACUGCAGUGUCUUUCUGAUGAUCUAAGAUUGUUGCCUGCUCUCACUGUCUUGGAUGUGCAUGAUAAUCAACUGACAUCUCUUCCUUCUGCUAUAGGAACACUGGAAAAUCUCCAGAAACUUAAUGUGAGCCAUAAUAGACUGAAAGAUAUACCGGAGGAGCUUACCCAACUAAAACAUUUAAAAAGUCUGCUUCUGCAGCACAAUGAAUUAAAUCAGUUGCCUGAUGAAUUUGGACAGCUUAUUAGUUUGGAAGAGUUGGAUAUUUCCAACAACUGUAUUUCUAGUAUCCCAACAAGUUUUCGUUUUCUAACAAAUUUGGUGCGGCUCAAUUUGACUUGUAAUCAUUUGAAGAGCCUGCCAGCAGAAAUCAGUGCACUGAAAAGUCUGAGACAGCUUGAUUGCACAAAAAACUAUCUGGAAACGAUACCUCCUGAAGUGGCCAAUAUGGUAUCAUUAGAGCAGCUUUAUCUAAGAAGAAAUAAAUUGUGUUACCUGCCAGACCUUCCUUCAUGUAGGUUUUUAAAGGAGUUGCAUGUUGGUGAAAAUCAGAUUGAAGUGUUAAAACCUGACCACCUGAAACAUCUGAAUUCUUUGUGUGUAUUGGAACUAAGAGAUAAUAAGCUAAAAUCACUGCCUGAUGAAAUCACCCUGUUACAGGGGUUAGAGCGACUAGAUCUAUCCAACAAUGAUAUUAGUAGCCUUCCUUACAAGCUAGGAAACUUGUCUCAACUGAAGUUCUUAGGGCUGGAAGGAAACCCUUUAAGGACAAUCCGAAGGGAUGUUGUACAAAAAGGGACACAAGAAAUUCUGAAAUACCUUAGAAGUAAAAUACAAGAUGAUGACAUAAUUGGUCCAAAUGGAGAAUUUCCUAUGACGGCAAUGACUCUGCCAAGUCAGUCAAAAAUUAAUCUGCAUGCUAUAACUGCAUUAAAAACAUUGGACUAUAGUGAAAAACAGUUAGCUGUAAUUCCAGAUGAAGUGCUUAAUGCAGUUGGAACCAAUCCAGUCACUACUGUAAAUUUCAGCAAGAAUCAGCUGACUGAAAUUCCAAUAAGAAUUGUGGAACUAAAAGAAUCAGUCUCUGAUAUCAAUUUUGGUUUCAACAAGCUUUCGUCUAUUUCCCUGGAGCUCUGUAUGCUUCACAGACUGACACAUUUGGAUGUUAGAAAUAACAUUUUGACAUCUCUGCCUGAUGAAAUGGAAGCAUUGACAAAACUGCAGAUAAUUAAUCUUGCCUUUAACAGAUUUAAAAUAUUUCCAAAUGUGCUGUAUCACAUUCCAACUCUUGAAACAAUCCUUCUUGCUAAUAAUCAGAUUGGAUCCCUGGACCCUCUGCAAAUAAAGAAGUUGGACAGGCUUGGUACCCUAGAUCUUCAAAAUAAUGACCUCUUACAAGUACCACCAGAACUUGGGAACUGUGUCAAUCUCAGUUUCCAGGAAUCUGCCUCAAUUCAGCAAGGAGACUUGCUCUCGGAAAGAAGCUACUCAGGUUUCCAUCCUGAUCACAUUGGUUUCUGUGUAUAGCAAAGACACCAGGAACAGAGAAUGAAAAAAAGAAGUGACAGUAUUGAAGAAGAAGGGUAAGAUACUGUUUUGAGAUGCCAAGCAGGUACACAGGCCAUGGAUUACAGAACAAACAUGUUUUGCCUAUUUCCAUGAUUUUAUCUGUAACACAUAAAAGCUUAGAAAAUGAAAACCAACUUUCUCAGGAAUCCAAAUUUCCCUGUUAAGAUUACUUGUUAAUGUAUACAAUUGUACACGUGUGUAAUAUGCUCUGUUCUACAAGUCAUCAAAUACAAUGCCAGUCCAGAUUAGCAAAGCUCUUAUGUUCGUCACAUCAAAAGGAAAUAUUUUUCAUUCUUCAAGGUCUCAUACCCUGAAGAUUUCAUCCAAGUCAGAAUGCAAUGCAGUUUAUAUAAGACUUCAGUUAAGACCUGAAAAUGUUCUGUGAAGGUGACAAGAUUAGGUAUAUAGCAUUUGUGGAAAUUUAAGGGUCUGUUAAGGAAAAACUGAGACUUUGCUUGGGAUGGUAAUUGCUUUCAAAGCAUCUGAGUUAGAAGAAACCUGGAGAUCUUGACUUCAACAUAUUGACCCAAGUAUAUGCCAUAUAACCAGUUUGCCCACCCCCAUUUAGCCUCCUUAAUCCAGAUUAGCAUUUCAUAUGCAGUAAACAGAAGCUACCUCAAUGGUGUCAGAACUGACCAAGAUGUCUGCAGAACAUAAUUUUAGGAAGAUAUGUCACUUGCUUUGCUGGAGUUACCAAUAUAUUCCCCUCACAGUCUGCACUAGUUAUUAAUAUGCCUGAGCUUCAGAAUAUAUUUAGGUUUCUUUCUAGUAAUAGUAAUUCAGGCACUGAAAUAUCUUUUUGAGUUCUCUUUUCAGAAUAGCCAUUCAUUGUGCAUCAUACUCAUAUCUAUACAGUGGUACCUCUACUUACGAAUUUAAUGCGUUCUGAACGCACAUUUGUAAGUCGAAAAAAAUUGUAAGUUGAAUCCCAUAGGAAUGCAUUGGGAGAAAAAAAUCGUAAGUAGAAAAAAUCCUAUCUAAACCACAUCCAAGAUGGCGGACGGAGCUCUAUUCGUAAGUAGAGUUAUUUGUAAGUAGAGGUACCAUUGUAUUAGAUUCAGCAAAAUUAAAUCGUAACAGAUUCAGAAUUUGAUUGUUUAUUUUAGGAUUUUUUAUUACUACUUUACUUUUUCAUUCUUAACAUUCUAAAAUAGUUGAAACAGUUGACAAUUUUAUUUCUUGCAUAUUAAUAUAAUUUACCAGUUACUGAUUUUCAUUCAUUGUAUGCAUGAAUUAAGCAUAUUUAUUGCAUGCUGCGCCAUAGUUCAAACCAUCAUCUACAGAAGUUAAACUUUGGUAAAAAGUAACCAAACAAACCCUUAUCAGAUAUUUCAGUUCAUUUUAUAUGCCUGUAAGAGCAAAUCCAAUGUUUUCCAAGAGACAUCACAAAUGCCAGUCCUUUCCCCAAGGUCGUUGGCAUUUCUUUAGUACCAGAGUUGGGAGAUAAUGGCCAAAUCAUGAUCUGGCUGGUGGAACUUUCCCUCUCAUGUUCAAAUUUCCAUCCUCCUUGGUUUGCGCACAUCAUUAUUUACUUCACAAUCUGUGAAUUCCAAUUCUGGCUUGGAUGAAAACUGGUUUACUCAAGCCAAGAAGAUAAGGAAAUAAAUCAGAGCAUACGAGUGGGAAUGAAACAAGCCAAAUGAUGGUCAAACCAUAUCUGAACAGGCCCAGUAUUAUUUUCAUAAGAGGGUCUUAAUUCAUUUCCCUAUUGCUUCUUCUAAACUCAAGUCUGGUGACCAGCAUUGUAGAAAUGCUCACUCAUUUACAAAUACUUUAGUCAAAAUUUUUGACAAGAAAAGCUAGAAAUGUAUGUCAGGCUGUCCUGGAAAAACAGUUUAAAACAAUGUUGGGGGUUUCGGUGGCUGGAAUCUAGCCUAGUGUAUUUGAAUCUGUGUUACUGAAUAGCACAACCCACAUUUAUUCAGUUUUAUCCUCCCCACCUCCCAAAGGAGUCCAAGAUCAUCUGCCUUUGCAAACUGCAAUUAUAAUAGAGCUAUUUUAAAAGGUAUGUAUGAUACUACAUGCUUUAUCCCAUCUUUUCCUCCAAAGACCUCAUUGCUGUAUGCAUGCUUCUCCUUCCGCACCCCCCGCACCCCAAAACACAGACAAAGAAAACCCAAGAUAGUGAGGAUUUUGGUUUAGAUCUUCCCCAACCUAAAUCUAACACACUAGGCACUGAGCCACAGUAACUCACCAAGUGAUAUGGUGUGAAGGGCAGCCAUUCAAAAGAAAAAAUCCGAAUGAGCUGAUUGGCAUCCCUAAGGCACUUUUUGAUUCCCAACAGAUACAGUUGCCGUAAUUCAUAUACAGAAUUAUGUACACAGAACUGCAUGUCCAGGCUUCCACAUUUACUUCCUUCAUUAUGCAGAGAGCUGUCCCCCGUAUUUAAUCAGAGAAGCACCUGUAGAUGGUGAAGCACAGGAUGUGUGCGAGAUCUUUCCAUGCCUCCAAGGAGAUGACUAGUUUAGGGUCUUUAAUUACGUCUGUGUGUACAGAGUGGUAGUGGGGGGGAACUCAUAAAGUUGCAACACAGUGUUGAAAGUAUAAGCAUAAUCAGGUAGGCAAGGAAUAAGAAAAAAUAUAACGAACAGAGAGCCCACACACUAAAGAGAAAAUUCUUUUAUUAAUUUAAAUGUUUUAACAAAUAGCAGGAAAAUAAUUUAAGAGAAAGAGUACAAAUUCCAGACAGAUCAAAGACAUUCAACAAAGCCUUGGAUUUAGUGUGCAAAACCUCAGAGGCAUAUUUUCUGAGAGCCAGCCUGAAGCUGGACUCCAUUUAGAUUUUAGAUUUGUUUGUUUUCUGUAAAGGCUGAUAGUCUGUCAUGUUGCAGUAAAUGGCCUUAAGUGCAAAACAUCUGUCUGCAUGUCCCUUUCUCGUAUCCUGAUGGCCUAAUUUUGGCUUCCAACUGAAGGACUGAAAAACUCUUAACAGGGCACAUUUCUCCAUCCGGUUACCUCCAGAGUAAUCCUAUUGGUCUUUGGGGGGGGGGGGAUUCAGAUGGAUUGCUGGCUGAAAAUGAGUGAACCCAUUAUUAUUUUUGGUUCUGUUUACCUGAACAUGAUGCAGUGCAAAGGGCCAAUAACAAUGUUUUUUUUUUUAUCCAAGGGGUACAUCAAAAGAUCAGAACAUGAUUCCUAAACAUGCAGUGUGGAUCAUCUGACACAUGGUACGUUGGCAGGAGUGAUUUACCUUAUAAGCAAGCUUUCAGCCCUCCUCCUUUUACAACCUUUACCUGAUAAUUAGAUGCAGUUGGCUACAAAAGUAUACAAACAUGAGUUCUUAAGGAUUCACUGGUAUAAUAGCACAUGCUAGAGGGUGGUGGUACAAAUGGGGGCAGAAAAAGGAAUCCUAAAUCAAAUGGAUUAUUAAGGGCAGAAUUAAAGGGCACAUAAAUUAUAAUUCUAUUGAAAGCAUAAAAAUCCAAAUUAGAAUUACAGUGAAACAUAGACCCAUUCAAUUUUCAAAGGUAAGGUGUAGUUAGUGCAUCCAAGCCUACUUGGUUCCACCUUGAAGGGCCACCAUUACACUUUAAGCUCACAAGAUUGUUUCCUUACAGAUACCAAUGUAUGCCAUGGAUAGGGUAUUGAUAGCAGUAUUUUAUGUCAAAAGUAUUAUGUUUCCAAUGUAGUGAAAGAUGGUAAUUUAAACAGAGCUCUGAUAAUGAUCAUAUAUGAUUCCUUUCCAACAUAAACCUAAAAAGUAGUUGCCUUUCAUAAGAACUGCAUGCUGGACUUCUGGGGUUGGGAAUACAUGUUCCAUUUUCCUAUGGUUUGGCCUUGAGAUAUGGGUUUACUUGAAACAGCUUCAAUUACUUUAUAUCGCGGGCGUUAUUGACAUAUUUGUCAUAAAAAGAAUCAGAAGUUAGUCUUGUGAUGAAAAAAAGUUCUUUGUUGAUGAUCUAUAUCAAUACAUGAGGCAGGCAAACAAUAUAUAUUUAUAUCUCAAGUUCCUUAACUCAGACGUUUGAUGAUGCAUUAUAGCAGAUUGAGUGAGGCAUUGUUUUUUUCAGGGAACAAGACCCUGGAUUUUGAAACUGGCUUUAAGAGAUAUCCAGUGCUUCAUGUGUACUCAGUGCCAUCUGUAAUAAGAACAAAUAUAUUUCAGAACCUCAUUUGCUAACUUUGGUUUACAAAAAAAAAUACUUCAAAUUUAUACCCAUUUUGAGACUUACCAUGAAGCCACCCCAGGUUUGUUGACCAGUAGUCAGGGUAAUAACCAGGUUCUGAAAUCUGAAAAAGGAAAGUAUUGUGGCUGUGGUUUGGCUACUUUGCCACUGCCUGCUUUCUUGGUACUUGAAUGCCAGCAGUUUAUACUGAAAACCCACGACACAAUCCAUAUGCUAAGGAACACAUGUAACAGUUUAGUUCACAUGACACGGAUGUGCUUGAUAGUUUAGCAUUAAUAAUUCUGCGUUGGUUUCAUGCCAGAGGCGAGUUCCCGUGGAAAAAGGUUAUAUUCAUCACUAGAUGUGAUGGUGACAGACCUAUUUGUUUAAGCUCAACUUGACCCCAGUCAUAAAUAGCAGGUUUGAGUUGGAGCUGUACAGGUGUGUAAGGGAAGCUGAACUUUUGCUGUGUACCUCCCCCAGCCACUUACUUAAGCACUUCUCUCACAGCUGAGUUAACUUCCAGCUCUGAAACUCAGCUGAGGUGAAACACAGCGGAGGGGAGUGAUGGUGAGGCGGCAAGUUGCUGCUCUAAAGGUAAGAUGACCUGGCCCCCAUUUCAAAACAGACGAGUGAAGUCCAAAGCAAGGGCAAUGGGCCAGCCUAAAGGGAGGGAGGGAGAAUCGCGAGGCAAAAGGGGCUGAGCUAGCCUCCCACCGGAGUUUACAUUGUCCCACCCACGCCCCCCCCAAGAGCCACCGGAUUGGUGGCUCUGUCGGUGGGGUGGCCAGGAUAUUCCCCCAGAGUGACGUGGGAUGCAAUCCUGCCCACACUGAGGGGAGGGGAUGCGUUCAGGGGGCCAGAGCGCAAGGUGUUCCUGCUGGAAGGCAGAAACGAUUUAGUAAAAGGUUGAAUUAUUGCCUCGGAUUUUGGAAAAGUUAACACUGGAUUAUGAUCAUAGCUGCCAGGUUUCCCGUAUUCCCCGGGAAACCCCCGUUUUCCCAGCCAUUUCCCGCUGGCAGCCCGGAUUUUAAAAACCCUCGUAAAUUCCCCGGAUUCUUACCGGCCCGGGGAGGCUCCUUCUGCACAUGUCUGGAGUCUUUAGACAUGUGCAGAAGUGAUUUCUGGCGCUGCGGCCAUUUUGGAAAUGGGCAGAGCAUGCGUAGAAGCAACUUCCAGUGCCACUCUAUCCAGUUUUUGUUUCUGCCCUUCUUGAAGAAUGUGGGCAACUGGGGUAUUUGGGAGGGGGGCUAAGCAGUGACAUUUCCUUGCAACGUCAUUUUCCCAAUUACAGCAGCCCUUCUGCCAGCUAAAAUUAGCCCUGAAAUGAGAAAGAUAAAUCUAUACUUUAUGUUUCUGAUCCCAUUCAAUUCUAAUUAUUUGUUGUUGUUAUUAAUAAUAAUAAUAAAUAUCAGGAAAUCCAGUCUUUAUUCUCCCAUGUCACUUGCAGUUUUGCCUUUAACCGUAGCUCUCUAACAGUGGUUAAAACGCAGCAUAGGACCUCAGAAUAUUUUUUCUUGUUGAUAUUUCUAGUGAGCAAAAUACUCUAAUAAAAUUUUAGGACUUACAGUAAGUGAAUAGCUAAAACGGUAUCACGAGAAUUCAUGCAAAGUAUGCAAUUCCCUUAAUUACUUUUACGCUGAAAUGAAAUACUAUUUCAGAGAUAUAUGCUGAGGUUGAAAUAUUCAGGAAGUUGAAUUAUUCCCAUCAUUAUCUUUUUAAUAUACAUCACCUAUGGCAAUAUGAUGGUGUUGCUUCAGCUUUCUGACUUACCAUAUGAUUUAGUAAGACCUGAAGUUGUCACAACUAAUUUAUGCAAUGAAAAUUAUUUUCCGACUGCUAUCCUAGGUAGCAACUCAAAAUUCCUUAAGCGUCAUACAGCCUCUGUUAAACUGACAAAGGAGUUUCUCUGGCGUACACACAUCCUCGUCAAGUGCUUGUGUGCCACUUGAGUAUAUUGUGGCAAGUUUUUGUGGCGAGAACACAAAGAUCAAACUCAUCCUUGCUGCACCAGUGAACCCUGCAGCCUCCAGGGCCUAGUGCACACUUUGUAUCUGUUUUGUGCUUCACCAGAUAUCUUACAAACCUCAUUCCCAACUACCGUACUACCUUAGAGGUUUCCAGUCUCUCAGCAUCUUAGAACAUACCAAAUCACAUUGACUUGAGCCACUGUAGGUUGCUCAACCUCUUGUGCCCUAUUUCAAGCUUGUACUACCAGGGGCAGCCUGAAGCAUUUUGGCACCUGAGGCAAAGUGCCCUGCUGCUGCCCCCAUGAUGGGGAGGGGGCAAACUGCAUAAGGGCUUCUUCUCGAGUGACUGACUUACCCUGCCUCAUAGGCGGGCCAGCUCUCUGCACAAUAAGACUUGUAGGAAGUCCCUUUGGUGAUUAGAAUCCUGGAACAUGGAACUCAUUUUUCCACCAUAUUAAGGGAAUGUAAGGGGGAAGGUGAAUUAUAUUUGGGAGCUUCAAAUAACCUUGUUAGGAUAAACUAGGUGUUCAACAGCAGAUAAAGGUCUGGACAGCCAGUUGCUACUUAAAAGCUGAAAACAAAAGGAGGGUACGAUUUUCAAGGGAGAAGUGGCAAGUAGGUGCGGGUGCUCAACCCUUUUCCUGCCCUCCACUUCCCUCUCUUCCUCAGACUGGGGUUGCCAAAUACAGUGGGGCUGGGGCUGCAGUGAAGAAACAGCUGAGGAAGGAGGGGAAAGCUGCUAAAUUCACAUCACCUAUCUCUCCUCUCCUGCAACUUCUCUGCCGUGAAAAUUGCACACCCCUCUGAAGUUGUUUUGCAGUGGCCAGAGUUCCAAUCCAGGUAUGCCAGUAAAUUCUUGUUCCCCUCUUAAGGUUAUCCACAGAUUCACAGAACACCAGGGAAAUUACAUGCUCUACAAGUUACUUCAGUAAUCAAACUAGUUACAGUAUACUAUCAUUAGAUAAAGCUGACAGUAAAUAACAGCUGAAACAAAUGUAGAAAAUAUCCUUUGUUUGCAAAUUCAGGUGUUAAGUUUAUUUUUUUAAAGCAUUUGUGGAUUUCCUUCUAUUUCUCUAUAGAAACCAAGAACAUUUGCUCUGUUAAUAUAUAGAGAAAAGGAGAUGGGCCUACAGUGAACAAGAGAGAAGGAAGAAGAGAUGUGCAAUAUCAGUACAGAUAAAUGAAUAAGUGAGAAAGUAGGAGAAUGAAUGCAGGAUGCAUGACAGGCGCCUAUGGGGGGAAACAAGCACAAGAGGAGCUUGUUUUUGUUAUUUCAUUAACAAAAGUUCCAUUGUCAAAGAGACAAGCCAUUUAUAAAAGUGAAACAAAUGCUGCACAAUAAUCAUAUAUUUGGUAUAAACUUAGUGAGUUGUUGUACUUAUGGAUUCGAAUGCCAUUCCGUGGGCCACUGAGCCAGUUCACAAAACUUAUCUGUUGUGGUACCUAGCAAAUUAUCAAGUUAAGGACUUCCUUGUUCCAUACAACUCCCUGCUUCAUGUCCUGCUGGUGGUUAAACAGUUGCAAACUUAAUGAUCACCUAACUGUAAACCAUGCUGCUAAACCAAACAUUGCAACAAAACCCCUUUAAAAUAAUUAUUAUUUAAUUGACACUAUUUUUCUGGUAUGCCCUUUAUAAUGGAAUGUGUUGCAAUGGCAAAACUGGUGUCAGGUGACCAUUGUGAAUUAUGAUUCAGUAGGUGACCACCAUGAUAACUGUUAUCUCAGCAAGAUCAAUAAAUAAAAUAGGCACAUUCACAUGGAUGCUCCCUGGCUCUUUCCCUGUUGUGGACAUAUCAUUGUGCCCUAGGAAAUGGAAAGAUAUUGAGGCCCAAUAUCCUUCUGCAACUGUCCUGUUCUGCAGAGGGAGAAAUCAGUGGAAACCAGAAGGUGCUUCAGAAUGCCUCUGAUAUGGCUAUGACCACUGAAAAAAGUUGCCUGCAGGCUUGCCUUUCAUUAUUGCAGAAACAACUGACUCAGACAGAAAGCGUUAACCUUGAGCAAACUACAGUACAAGGCUGGAGCAGGUUGGAUGCUGGUCCAUCAGGCUGAACCCUAGUAACAAAGAUACCCUAUAAGUCAGAAGUAACAGAGGUUAGGAAACUAUAACCAAGAACUAGGCUCAAGGUUUGUAUAUGAACUAAGUGGACUGCAAUAAUUAAUAUGCCUAUGUGCUACACUAGCUGGAAUCCAGCCUACUUGCUGAAUAUUACAAGUUCUGUACUAGACAACAUCUACUUAUAAUUUAGAAAAAGAAGCUUGUGAUCAAACCAACAGUUCAUUGCUGAAUUAAAUAUAUGUCAUGGUGCAUUCUUAUUUUCAGUGUUAUGGAUUGGAAAGCAGGCCCUCUGAAGCCCUACUGCACAUAUGUAUGUUCUCCCUGUAGUGAUUUGGAUCUCUGCCACAAAACACGACCCCCUGCUUUAUCUUGCCUAUGGCCUUAUCUUGCUUAUCUGCCUCCAUAACAUCAACUGUUUUUACGAAAGAGUCUUUAAGAAUGAAGAGCUAUGGAUCUGCACUGAAUCUGCUUCCACAAAUGGUUUACAGCUCAUUCCUCUGAAGAAAAUGAUGUAGGGUGACUUUAAGCCAUGGUUUAGUGCAGGCAUAGACAAACUUGGCCCUCCAGAUGUUUUGGGACUACAAUUCCCAUCAUCCCUAGCUAACAGGACCAGUGGUCCAAAACAUCUGGAGGGCCGUGUUUGCCUAUGCCUGGUUUAGUGUUAGAGGCAAACCAGUAAUUUUAGAAGAGAAAGAAAUAAGGUAAAAAUCAGUACAUUUAUCAAUGCUUUAGCAUUGAUUGAUGAUUUUUAUAUGCUAAAUGAUUGCUACUAUUAACAUUUUUGCUCAAACAGUAUGAGAUCUUGCUUAGUGUAGAGCUAGUGGAAUACAUCUUAGUCAGAAUUCAUAAACUAACAGCAUAGCAAACUGUUAUUGACGGUGAAUACAUUCCAAAAUAUCUCAUAUUGCUUUUUCAUGCUAUUAUAUUGCUGCUUAUUUGAGUUCAAAAUCCAUAGAAAAAAACAUUUACAAACAUCUAAAAUUUCAUCUAUAUAAAAAGUCCAGAAGUUAUUGUGGUUCUCCUGUAACUGCAAAUUUCUUUGGGGUGGGGUUUAGGAAUAUUUCCCCCGUAGGGUCCCUAUCAGUGGUGAGCAGGUUACUCGGUAUCAAAUAUGGUGGGAAUGGAUAGCUAUUUACAUAAAGGUACGUAAUCAGAAGUACCACCAUGGGUGAGCUACACCUGCCCUGAUGAUGCCAGUGUGAAGAGAGUGAAACAGCUUUUGCCCUUCUUGACUGCCAUUCCAGAUUGCAGUUGUUUAUUUUGUCCCAGAUCAUUUAGUAGAAGUCAACGAGAAGCCAGUUCCUGUUUAUAUAACCCUAUCCUUGGAAACUGACACUUCCUGUCCCACACCUAAACCAAAAGCUGGAUUUGAGAGGGAAUGAAGAAAAAUAAAAGCAACGCUUCUGGUAUGGGAAGAGGGAAGUGUGCCCAGUUUGGUGAACAGUAGCUAGAACUAACUUUGGAAGAGGAGGGCUGGCCCCACCCCUUGCUUUGUCUAAGGCAGCUUUCCACAACCAAGUGCCCUCCAAAUAUUUUGGAUCAGCCCCAGGCAGUAUGGCCAAUGGUCAGGGGUGAUAGGAAUUGUAGCCUCAAACAUUUGAAGGGCACCAGGCUGGGGAAGGCUGGUCUAAGGCCAUAAUCUCAAUGAAGGGUGGAAAGGAGGAAACGAGAACUGAGGCCAGGAAGGGAACUGUUCAUACUUUUCACUUCCUGCUGCCCCACUCAACAAACCUGAUGGCCCUUUGGGUAGUUCAGAUCAGCACGUGAGACCCAAGGCAUUUUUUAUCACCCCUGCAGAAGUGGGAUAAGUGCUGAAUGCCUUUCUGAAUGCCCUAUUCUCAUUUACUAAUCAGGGUAGUUGUAAAAGUGUAAAGUGAUAGCCCCUACAGUCUCUACAAUCCCAGAAUUUGCUGGCAACACGUUUGCAGACAUUCAAUGACAUGUAUCCAUAGCCAAAGAUUAUUUGGGGAUCAUAAUACACAGUAGGUCAACCUAUUUUCUUCAGCUCCUUAUCUUGAUUACAUUUUAAUUGCAAGCAAAGGAACAGAUGUCAUGAAUAUCUGGACUUUAACUACCCUUAAAUGUUCAAACUGCAUUAUUUGAUCACUAAUUCAAGCAAGAAAUUACCGGUACUACUUUACCUUGUC